AUGCGGACUUUGUGCUGGAACUGUCGUGGGAUUGGCGAUCCCGCGACGGUCCGAGAGCUCCGCGAGCUCGUGGAGGCUAGUGCGCCGACGGUGCUUUGCUUGGUGGAGACACAGUUAGCGAAGUAUCGUGUGGAAGGUUUGGCGGCGAAUUUAGGUUUCUCGGAGAGAUUUGCGGUUGCUAGUAGGGGUCGCAGUGGCGGCCUUUGUAUUUUCUAG
rnacentral:rRNA from 1 species